GAACAUCACACGCCGUGGAGGUCACAAAUAUAUUGAAUCAGACCUUCAUUAUCCAGCAGACACCACGGAGCUUCUGACAGACGGCAAACAAAGAACGAAGAUGCUGCUUCCAAGGAUGCAGGAUGGUUGGUGCCCGUCUCCAGCAGUCGUUGAGUGAGAGGCGAGCUGUCAAGAGGAUAAAAAUGAGGAGAUGAGUCACAGAGUCACAGGAUGCUGCCAGAGAGCAGGAAGUGAG